rnacentral:tmRNA from 1 species
GAGCGCUGCACCGGACGGCUCACGGGCCGGGUCGGGCAACCGACAGCAGCGUCAUUGACGUGAGAUAAGGGUGCGUCUUGCCGUGAGGCGCACCACGAAAAUUCAGCGGAUCGCCUUGCAACAGCCCUCCGGUUGGCGGUUGCCGGGUUAAAUCAAACAGCCAGGCUAAGCAUGUAGGACUGUCUGUAGAGGGCUUGCGGACGCGGGUUCGAUUCCCGCCGCCUCCACCA